rnacentral:rRNA from 2 species
GUUGGGUAGGGGAGCGUUCUGUAAGCCGUUGAAGGUGUGUCGUGAGGCAUGCUGGAGGUAUCAGAAGUGCGAAUGCUGACAUAAGUAACGAUAAAGCGGGUGAAAAGCCCGCUCGCCGGAAGACCAAGGGUUCCUGUCCAACGUUAAUCGGGGCAGGGUGAGUCGACCCCUAAGGCGAGGCCGAAAGGCGUAGUCGAUGGGAAACGGGUUAAUAUUCCCGUACUUGGUGUUACUGCGAAGGGGGGACGGAGAAGGCUAUGUUGGCCGGGCGACGGUUGUCCCGGUUUAAGCGUGUAGGUGUGUGUUCCAGGUAAAUCCGGUUCACUUUAACACUGAGGCGUGAUGACGAGGCACCACGGUGCUGAAGCAACAAAUGCCCUGCUUCCAGGAAAAGCCUCUAAGCCUCAGGUAACAUCAAAUCGUACCCCAAACCGACACAGGUGGUCAGGUAGAGAAUACCAAGGCGCUUGAGAGAACUCGGGUGAAGGAACUAGGCAAAAUGGUGCCGUAACUUCGGGAGAAGGCACGCUGACACGUAGGUGAAGUGGUUUACCCAUGGAGCUGAAGUCAGUCGAAGAUACCAGCUGGCUGCAACUGUUUAUUAAAAACACAGCACUGUGCAAACACGAAAGUGGACGUAUACGGUGUGACGCCUGCCCGGUGCCGGAAGGUUAAUUGAUGGGGUCAGCGCAAGCGAAGCUCCUGAUCGAAGCCCCGGUAAACGGCGGCCGUAACUAUAACGGUCCUAAGGUAGCGAAAUUCCUUGUCGGGUAAGUUCCGACCUGCACGAAUGGCGUAAUGAUGGCCAGGCUGUCUCCACCCGGGACUCAGUGAAAUUGAACUCGCUGUGAAGAUGCAGUGUACCCGCGGCAAGACGGAAAGACCCCGUGAACCUUUACUAUAGCUUGACACUGAACACUGGUCCUUGAUGUGCAGGAUAGGUGGGAGGCUUUGAAGUGUGGACGCCAGUCUGCAUGGAGCCAUCCUUGAAAUACCACCCUUUAAUGGCUGGUGUUCUAACGUGGGCCCGUGAACCGGGUUGCGGACAGUGUCUGGUGGGUAGUUUGACUGGGGCGGUCUCCUCCUAAAGAGUAACGGAGGAGCACGAAGGUUGGCUAAUCCUGGUCGGACAUCAGGAGGUUAGUGCAAUGGCAUAAGCCAGCUUGACUGCGAGCGUGACGGCGCGAGCAGGUGCGAAAGCAGGUCAUAGUGAUCCGGUGGUUCUGAAUGGAAGGGCCAUCGCUCAACGGAUAAAAGGUACUCCGGGGAUAACAGGCUGAUACCGCCCAAGAGUUCAUAUCGACGGCGGUGUUUGGCACCUCGAUGUCGGCUCAUCACAUCCUGGGGCUGAAGUAGGUCCCAAGGGUAUGGCUGUUCGCCAUUUAAAGUGGUACGCGAGCUGGGUUUAGAACGUCGUGAGACAGUUCGGUCCCUAUCUGCCGUGGGCGCUGGAAGAUUGAGGGGGGCUGCUCCUAGUACGAGAGGACCGGAGUGGACGCAUCACUGGUGUUCGGGUUGUCAUGCCAAUGGCACUGCCCGGUAGCUACAUGCGGAAGAGAUAAGUGCUGAAAGCAUCUAAGCACGAAACUUGCCCCGAGAUGAAUCUUCCCUGAGCCUUUAAGGCUCCUGAAGGAACGUUGA